GACGAACGCUGGCGGCGUGCCUAAUACAUGCAAGUAGAACGCUGAAGGAGGAGCUUGCUUCUCUGGAUGAGUUGCGAACGGGUGAGUAACGCGUAGGUAACCUGCCUGGUAGCGGGGGAUAACUAUUGGAAACGAUAGCUAAUACCAUAACAGUAGAUAUCGCAUGAUAUCUACUUGAAAGGUGCAAUUGCAUCACUACCAGAUGGACCUGCGUUGUAUUAGCUAGUUGGUGAGGUAACGGCUCACCAAGGCGACGAUACAUAGCCGACCUGAGAGGGUGAUCGGCCACACUGGGACUGAGACACGGCCCAGACUCCUACGGGAGGCAGCAGUAGGGAAUCUUCGGCAAUGGACGGAAGUCUGACCGAGCAACGCCGCGUGAGUGAAGAAGGUUUUCGGAUCGUAAAGCUCUGUUGUAAGAGAAGAACGAGUGUGAGAGUGGAAAGUUCACACUGUGACGGUAUCUUGCCAGAAAGGGACGGCUAACUACGUG
rnacentral:rRNA from 1 species